CCUUGAGCGUCUACCAGGUAUGGCCCCAAAAUAAAAAAAAUUACUCGCCUGUAAUGUCUGGAGGUAGAGGGCAAGGGCCCCAUGCUCUUCGGCAUCAUGUCUUCGGUGCCGUGGUUUGCAAUCCGCCCAUUCUAUCCUCAAAGGCCAGGACACAA